GCCUGCGUAGCUCAAUUGGCAGAGCAAUCCCUUCGUAAGGGAGAGGUUAUCGGUUCGACUCCGAUCGCAGGCU
rnacentral:tRNA from 1 species